GAUGAAGAACGCAGCGAAAUGCGAUAAGUAAUGUGAAUUGCAGAAUUCAGUGAAUCAUCGAAUCUUUGAACGCACAUUGCGCCCCCUGGUAUUCCGGGGGGCAUGCCUGUCCGAGCGUCAUUGCUGCCCUCAAGCACGGCUUGUGUGUUGGGCCCCGUCCUCCGAUCCCGGGGGACGGGCCCGAAAGGCAGCGGCGGCACCGCGUCCGGUCCUCGAGCGUAUGGGGCUUUGUCACCCGCUCUGUAGGCCCGGCCGGCGCUUGCCGAUCAACCCAAAUUUUUUAUCCAGGUUGACCUCGGAUCAGGUAGGGAUACCCGCUGAACUUAAGCAUAUCAAUAAGCGGAGGA
rnacentral:misc_RNA from 1 species